GCAAACUUUGUGUGGGCACGUGUUGGUCAAGGACAGGCAUGUCCAAAGUCCGGCCCGCGGGCCAAAUCCGGCCCGCGGUCGAAUUUCAUCCGGCCCUCGGCCCCCGUCAUAAAGUCAGUGCCGUCUGGCCCGCAGGUUGGGCGCAAUGGAACACGUGUUGCAUUGACUGAGGUCUCGUCGACUGGUGAGUGAUGUUUCAUAGAGUACUGCUUCCCUCUAGUGGCUAAAUGAGUAAUAGCAUUCACUAAAUGAGUAAUAGCAUUUAGACACUAGAGGGCAUCACUCACGAGUUAACAAGACAUCACUCCGUGUUUAUAUUGACUGUUAUGUCAUAUUUCAAAUUCCUGUUUCAAAUGAACCAAAAGAAAUUCUUAAGAUUGUUGAAAUUAAAAUAAAAAUGGAAAUGUGAAACAGACUGGCUUACUAAAAUUUGUUGAACAAUAUUGUUGUUCAAUGUAAAGAAUGUCAGCCAAGGUCGGCCCCCCGAACAUUUUACCACAUAAAAUCUGGCCCCCUUGGCAAAAAGUUUGGACACCCCUGGCUUAAGUCAACUCGGACCGCCUUGCCCUGUCGAUCUUCACUUGUGUCACUCGCCGUCCUGACGCCUCCUCAAUGGCAUUUUUUUUUGUCCGUUACUUUAUUAUAAAUUAUAUAUAGUAUCGCAAGUGCUUUCCUGCUCUCUCUUAUAUGACGUCUUCCCGAUUAGCUUCUUAUUUCUGUCGUCGCCGCGUUUAAGUUUGACGUGCACCAUUUUGGAAACCUGCUUCGGGACGACGGAUGAAAACGCAUUUCUACUCUUUGUUCUCGCCUUGAUUCAUGCGUACUGUCUCAAAUGAAAUAAAGUCCCAUGAAUACAAA